UACAGAGGGUGCAAGCGUUGUUCGGAAUUAUUGGGCGUAAAGGGCGCGUAGGCGGUGCGGUAAGUCUGUAGUGAAAACUCUGGGCUCAACCCAGAGCCUGCAGGCGAAACUGUGGUGCUGGAGUAUGGGAGAGGUGCGUGGAAUUCCCGGUGUAGCGGUGAAAUGCGUAGAUAUCGGGAGGGACACCUGUGGCGAAAGCGGCGCACUGGACCAUAACUGACGCUGAGGCGCGAAAGCUAGGGGAGCAAACAGG
rnacentral:rRNA from 1 species